UAACUGAAUGCUGCAGGUGAUAUGGCAGCUGGGAAUGCAGGAGAAAAAUACUGAAAACUGCUGCCAUUUAUUGAGUGCCUAUUCUCUGCCUGGCUCCUGGAAUAAUGAUAACAAUAUUUAACAUAUAAUACAGCAUGAGCAUCAUCCAGUUGGAGUGGAUGCCAGCCGAAAACACAACUGAUUUAAUGACAUCACCUUGGCCAACAUUCAGGAAUUCAGAACUCUAAGUUACCCUGAACUAUCUAAAAACGAAAAUGGAAAGAUAAUUCUGCUUCAUGUCUGGUGUACUCCAACUGUGGAUAAGGUGCCCUUCAGGGCCUUAAAGGACAGGAACAAAGUAUGGCAGUUUGUCAUCAGAGCUCCAGGAAGCCACGAGGAAACUGAGCUUAGGAACCAAAUUGCUCAAAAUGGGAAAGAAAUGAAGAGAUGUACAGCAGAUGCUCUCAGCCUGGAAGUGUAACCUUCGGGAAGAAGGAACCACCAGUCAUGCUAAUUGGUCUUGAACAAGGCUUGUUUGCGCUGAGAGAUGAGAGAGAGCACCCCAUUUCUUCCUGAUUCAGUUCUGUAGACAUCUUUCUGGGAUUUGCAAUUGAUAAUUAUAGACACAGAGAUACACUUGGCCUAAUUUGCCAGCCUAUUUGGAGUCAUGAGUGUCACCCUGUAUGUCUGGUAUAUGUGCAGAUGGUUUCUGGCGGCUUCAAUAAAAUCAGAAAACACAAAA